GACGAACGCUGGCGGCGUGCUUAACACAUGCAAGUCGAACGGAAAGGCCCUGCUUUUGUGGGGUGCUCGAGUGGCGAACGGGUGAGUAACACGUGAGUAACCUGCCCUUGACUUUGGGAUAACUUCAGGAAACUGGGGCUAAUACCGGAUAGGAGCUCCUGCUGCAUGGUGGGGGUUGGAAAGUUUCGGCGGUUGGGGAUGGACUCGCGGCUUAUCAGCUUGUUGGUGGGGUAGUGGCUUACCAAGGCUUUGACGGGUAGCCGGCCUGAGAGGGUGACCGGCCACAUUGGGACUGAGCUACGGCCCAGCCUCCUACGGGAGGCAGCAGUGGGGAAUAUUGCACAAUGGGCGGAGGCCUGAUGCAGCACCGCCGCGUGCGGGAUGAGGGCCUUCGGGUUGUAAACCGCUUCCGCCUGUCACGAAGCGUGAGUGACGGUAAUGGGUAAAGAAGCACCGGCUAACUCCGUG
rnacentral:rRNA from 1 species